GACAGAGGCCUCAAGCGUUAGGCGGAAUCACUGGGCUUAAAGCGUGUGUAGGCGGAUCGUUAAGUGUCUUGUGAAAUCCCACGGCUCACCCGUGGAACUGCUGGGCAUACUGGCGAUCUUGGGCCAACUAGGGGCAACUGGAACAAGCGGUGGAGCGGUGAAAUGCGUAGAUAUCGAUUGGAACGCCGAAGGUGAAAACAGGUUGCUGGGGUUGUGCCGACGCUGAGACACGAAAGCCAGGGGAGCAAACGGG
rnacentral:rRNA from 1 species